CAACCCUUCCAACAGUGGCUCCCAGCCUGCAUGGAGAGGGCCUGGCGGCCCACACACCCACCUCACUUCUCACUGCCAGCCUGGGUUUGCAGAUAGCUGGGCUGCUCUGUCCCCAGCUUGCCCCGUGCCUGGCAUGGCUCUGUGCGAUUCUGUGGAAUGCCCUCUUGACUUGUGGAAAUCAUUCACCAAGUACGAUGGGGUGAGAUUCCACAUAAGUGGUGGACUGUCAUAUUGCAAAGCAGGCCCACCCCUGGGCUGGCCUUGGUUGAGGGGAAGGAGGAAUCUUUUGGAGGGUGCUUUGCAGGGAAUGCUCUUGGACAGCUGAAAACCUUGGCCUCCUUGGGGAUGGCCAGUGCUCCUGGUGUCUGCUCCACCUGACUGGGUUGUGCAGGAGACCGGCUGCCAGCACUGGGGCUUCAG